UUCUAGUGCGUUGUUAGGGGGUUCUAGUGCUGCGUUGUUAGGGGGUUCUAGUGCGUUGUUAGGGGGUUCUAGUGCGUUGUUAGGGGGUUCUAGUGCGUUGUUAGGGGGUUCUAGUGCGUUGUUAGUGGGUUCUAGUGCUGCGUUUUCAGUCCAAAACAUUAAGACAUCGUUUAUAUUCAGGCUGUCACAGUAAAGUCACGUUCCAAUCUUGGGGAAACCCAACGAGCGCCCCCACCACGGCCGCCCCCCCCCCCCCCC